rnacentral:misc_RNA from 1 species
AAAAAAAAUAAUAAUAAUAAUUAUUGCAAGAGAAGCAAGGAGGGUAAAGUUAAGGGUGGUAACAGUUACAAGGGAGUUUCAGAUUCUAUAGGAGAUAAAUUAUUGCAUGAGCUUUUGCAUCCACAUAUGAGAAAUCGUAGCCUUGUCUGCUUGAGUCUAUGCCUGCAUUAUCUUUAACCUUUGUGAAGAAAAUAGGUGUGGAAAGAAAAUGGAGGAAGAGAAUGAAGAGAAAGAAAUGAUAGAGGGAGAGAAUAACUUUCUCUUCUCUUUUCUGGAUAGAUGAGAGAAAUUGAGAAAGGAGAAAAUACAAGUUUUUAAUUUUUUUUUAUUAGUUUCAAA